GAUGAACGCUGGCGGCGUGCUUAACACAUGCAAGUCGAACGGGAUCCAUCAGGCUUUGCUUGGUGGUGAGAGUGGCGAACGGGUGAGUAAUGCGUGACCGACCUGCCCCAUACACCGGAAUAGCUCCUGGAAACGGGUGGUAAUGCCGGAUGCUCCGACUCCUCGCAUGGGGUGUCGGGAAAGACUUCAUCGGUAUGGGAUGGGGUCGCGUCCUAUCAGGUAGUCGGCGGGGUAACGGCCCACCGAGCCUACGACGGGUAGCCGGCCUGAGAGGGCGACCGGCCACAUUGGGACUGAGAUACGGCCCAGACUCCUACGGGAGGCAGCAGUGGGGAAUAUUGCACAAUGGGCGCAAGCCUGAUGCAGCGACGCCGCGUGCGGGAUGACGGCCUUCGGGUUGUAAACCGCUUUUGAUCGGGAGCAAGCCUUCGGGUGAGUGUACCUUUCGAAUAAGCACCGGCUAACUACGUGCCAGCAGCCGCGGUAAUACGUAGGGUGCAAGCGUUAUCCGGAAUUAUUGGGCGUAAAGGGCUCGUAGGCGGUUCGUCGCGUCCGGUGUGAAAGUCCAUCGCUUAACGGUGGAUCUGCGCCGGGUACGGGCGGGCUGGAGUGCGGUAGGGGAGACUGGAAUUCCCGGUGUAACGGUGGAAUGUGUAGAUAUCGGGAAGAACACCAAUGGCGAAGGCAGGUCUCUGGGCCGUUACUGACGCUGAGGAGCGAAAGCGUGGGGAGCGAACAGGAUUAGAUACCCUGGUAGUCCACGCCGUAAACGGUGGAUGCUGGAUGUGGGGCCCGUUCCACGGGUUCCGUGUCGGAGCUAACGCGUUAAGCAUCCCGCCUGGGGAGUACGGCCGCAAGGCUAAAACUCAAAGAAAUUGACGGGGGCCCGCACAAGCGGCGGAGCAUGCGGAUUAAUUCGAUGCAACGCGAAGAACCUUACCUGGGCUUGACAUGUUCCCGACAGCCGUAGAGAUAUGGCCUCCCUUCGGGGCGGGUUCACAGGUGGUGCAUGGUCGUCGUCAGCUCGUGUCGUGAGAUGUUGGGUUAAGUCCCGCAACGAGCGCAACCCUCGCCCUGUGUUGCCAGCACGUCAUGGUGGGAACUCACGGGGGACCGCCGGGGUCAACUCGGAGGAAGGUGGGGAUGACGUCAGAUCAUCAUGCCCCUUACGUCCAGGGCUUCACGCAUGCUACAAUGGCCGGUACAACGGGAUGCGACACGGCGACGUGGAGCGGAUCCCUGAAAACCGGUCUCAGUUCGGAUUGGAGUCUGCAACCCGACUCCAUGAAGGCGGAGUCGCUAGUAAUCGCGGAUCAGCAACGCCGCGGUGAAUGCGUUCCCGGGCCU
rnacentral:rRNA from 1 species